rnacentral:rRNA from 1 species
CGGCGGACGGGUGAGUAACGCGUGGGUAACCUGCCUCAUACAGGGGGAUAGCAGUUAGGAAUGACUGCUAAUACCGCAUAAGACCACAGCACCGCAUGGUGCGGGGGUAAAAACUCCGGUGGUAUGAGAUGGACCCGCGUCUGAUUAGCUAGUUGGUAAGGUAACGGCUUACCAAGGCGACGAUCAGUAGCCGACCUGAGAGGGUGACCGGCCACAUUGGGACUGAGACACGGCCCAA